GUGGAUCAGAAUGCCACGGUGAAUACGUUCCCGGGCCUUGUACACACCGCCCGUCACACCAUGGGAGUGGGUUGCAAAAGAAGUAGGUAGCUUAACCUUCGGGAGGGCGCUUACCACUUUGUGAUUCAUGACUGGGGUGAAGUCGUAACAAGGUAACCGUAGGGGAACCUGCGGUUGGAUCACCUCCUUACCUUAAAGAAGC
rnacentral:rRNA from 3 species